rnacentral:rRNA from 1 species
AGAACGAACGCUGGCGGCAGGCUUAACACAUGCAAGUCGAGCGCCCCGCAAGGGGAGCGGCAGACGGGUGAGUAACGCGUGGGAACAUACCCUCCGGUUCGGAAUAGCUCAGGGAAACUUGGAUUAAUACCGGAUACGGCCUAGCGGCGAAAGAUUCAUCGCCGGAGGAUUGGCCCGCGUCUGAUUAGCUAGUUGGUGGGGUAAUGGCCCACCAAGGCGACGAUCAGUAGCUGGUCUGAGAGGAUGAUCAGCCACAUUGGGACUGAGACACGGCCCAAACUCCUACGGGAGGCAGCAGUGGGGAAUAUUGGACAAUGGGCGCAAGCCUGAUCCAGCCAUGCCGCGUGAGUGAUGACGGCCUUAGGGUUGUAAAGCUCUUUCGCUAGGGACGAUAAUGACGGUACCUAGACAAGAAGCCCCGGCUAACUCGUGCCAGCAGCCGC